AGUGAACGCUGGCGGUAGGCCUAACAAAUGCAAGUCGCACGGCAGCACAGUAAGAGCUUGCUCUUACGGGUGGCGAGUGGCGGACGGGUGAGGAAUACAUCGGAAUCUACUUUUUCGUGGGGGAUAACGUAGGGAAACUUACUCUAAUACCGCAUACGACCUACGUGUGACAGAAGGGGCUCUUCAGACCUUGCGCGAUUCAAUGCGACUUUGUCGGAUUCGCUAGUGGGCGGGGUAAAGGCCCACCGAGGCGACGAUCCGUAGCUGGGCUGAGCGGAUGUUCAGCCACACUGGAACUGAGACACGGUCCAGACUCCUACGGGAGGCAGCAGUGGCGAAUAUUGGACAAUGGGCGCGAGCCUGAUCCAGCCAUACCGCGUGAGUGAAGAAGGCCUUCGGGUUGUAAAGCCCUUUUGUUGGGAAAGAAAAGCAGCAGGUUAAUACCCCGCUGUUCUGACGGUACCCAAAGAAUAAGCACCGGCUAACUUCGUG
rnacentral:rRNA from 1 species